GAUGAACGCUAGCGGCAGGCUUAACACAUGCAAGUCGAGGGGCAGCGAGGCCGUAGCAAUACGGCUGUCGGCGACCGGCGCACGGGUGCGUAACGCGUAUGCAACCUACCAUCAACAGGGGGAUAACACUGAGAAAUUGGUACUAAUACCCCAUAAUAUCUCAUGCGGCAUCGCAUGGGGUUGAAAACUCCGGUGGUUGAUGAUGGGCAUGCGUUGUAUUAGCUGGUUGGUGAGGUAACGGCUCACCAAGGCGACGAUACAUAGGGGGACUGAGAGGUUAACCCCCCACAUUGGUACUGAGACACGGACCAA
rnacentral:rRNA from 1 species